GUUCCGUAGAUCACUUCUGCUUACAUAGUAGACGGACCAUUAUUUGUAAAAUUGGUCGGAUUUGAGUGGAUUUGUUUGUCGAUAAUGAAGCAAGCUAUCUACUUGUUGGUAAUUAUACUGAUAGUAAACAUCGCAUUAAAUGCUUUCUCACUGCAAUAUGACCAUUGUGGAGAUAGGUUAUUUAAAAAACGCGGUUUGAUGGUCGGAGGAAAAAUUUCGCAACGAGGCAUGUGGCCUUGGCAAGUUGGCAUCUACAAAAAACAAGGUGGUAAUAUAAAAUCUUUAAAACGGCGUAUCAUAUGAAGCUAACGCUGCUAACCUUUUUAAUUAUUGUUCAAAUUAUCUCUCCUGGUCUGGAAUUGUUAUAUAUUCAUUAUGCUCACGUCAGUCGUUACGCGCAUGCGCGCGGAACCAUGUGCUCGAGAGGGAACGGCCAUGUUUGUCUUGUAAGAUUGCUGUAAUAAAGUUCUAGUUCACGACCAGAGUUUUAGUAUUUAACAACUGGCGACGAGGAUAAAGUACUACAAAACUUUCCGUUUUUAAAGAUGGCUCAAGCACAGGUGGGCACAAUUGAACCUUUUGAUGGAGAUGACUUCUCUGAUUACAGCGAGCGACUCGACUCAUAUCUAUUUGCCAAUAACAUUGGAAAAGUGGCCGCCGAUGCCAACGAAGACACCAAGAAAGAAGCAGAUAGACAAAAAGUGGCUACUACAAUUUCARUUAUAGGAAAAAAGGCCUAUAAAGUUCUGAAAGACCUCUGUUUACCCGAGAAACCCACAGAUAAAUCCUACAAACAACUCACGGAAA